UACGUAGGGUGCAGGCGUUAAUCGGAAUUACUGGGAGUAAAGCGCACGCAGGUGGCUGAGUCAGUCGAUUGUGAAAGCCCUGGGCUUAACCUGGGAAUUGCAGUCGAUACUACUCAGCUAGAGUAUGGGAGAGGGUAGUGGAAUUCCCGGUGUAGCGGUGAAAUGCGUAGAUAUCGGGAGGAACAUCAGUGGCGACGGCGGCUACCUGGCCCAAUACUGACGCUCAUGCACGAAAGCGUGGGGAGCAAACAGG
rnacentral:rRNA from 1 species